rnacentral:tRNA from 1 species
GGGUGCAUAGCGCAGUGGUUAGCGCGCAUGCUUUGCAUGUAUGAGGUCCGGGGUUCGAUCCCCUGUGCAUCCA